rnacentral:tRNA from 1 species
GAAUCAGCUGGGAGAAACGACAACUGCUAAUUACUCGCCCCACGGUUCAACUCCGUGGCUGACUCA